rnacentral:snRNA from 1 species
GUUCUCGCUUCGGCAGCACAUACACUAAAACUGGAACGAUACAGAGAUUAGCAUGGCCCCCCUGCGCAAGGAUGACACGCAAAUUCGUGAAGCGUUCCAUAUUUUA